AUUUGAUGAAUUUGAAAAAAAUAUAACCUUAUAGAAGAAAUAAAAAUUCAAAACUUAGAAAACCUUUAACUGAUAAGCGAAGAAAACGAGAAGUAAGAUUAUGAUAAAUGUUUUAAUUUUCGGGAGAGGAACACGUGCUACAAGGAUUUCGUUAUGAUUGUUCUCAUGCGUUUCAAAUAGUAGCAUUAAGGAGAUAUUCUAGUCUAGAACUUUCAAAUAUGAAUAUAUUAAUUGAAAUAUAAAUUGUUGUUGAAAGAAUAAUUGUGAUACGUUACAUUUUUCAACUACCUGAAAAAGAACUUUCAAGUAGAGAAAAUAGCUUUACAUUUACUGUGCUGAUAUCGGGUUGUCCAAAAAGUUUCUUCCAUUUCAUUAAUAAGUAAUACAUACAUUAUUGAAUUGCAUACGAUUCAUUUUUGCUUCGUUACAACAUUAACAUCUAAGAAAUUAGGUCGUCUAUUUAUAUAAACACAGUCACACAAAAUAACUGGGUGCAAGUUGUGGAAGAAAUUUUUGGGACAGCCUAAUAUAUAAGAAAACAAUUAAGAUAAAAACUUGACACUUGUACAAGUGUCAAUCAUAUAUUGAUUAUUUUCACCUUCAACAAAUUCUAUACGUCUUUAACAUCUGAACAAAUAUGUGUGCGAAACCCUUUAUACAAAUUCCUUAUAGAUUAAGAAAAAGAAUCCUCAAAAAGGACUAAAAAUUUCCGCUCUAGACUAGAAUACCCCCUUUUUUUUUAUCCAGGAGCACCGACAUAUCUUCUGCAAGAAGAGAAACGAGACUAAUUUCAAUAAAUACUCUAUUAAACGCCAUUCAUGUAUUACAUAAUAAUCAUACAACAUAUUCGUAGCGCAUAAUGAUAUCAAUGACAAUUAAUACAAAGUAAACCGUAAACAAUAGCGUCUCAACUAAUAUUACAGGUGUACACCUUUCCCGUUCGACUUCGCAGACGGAGGACUAUCGUUAAAGAGAGAGAGACGUCCUGACAGAAGGAAGGUAGAACGGAAAACGAGAUAAUAUGGCAUCCUAGGACUUCGUUUUAUCGUGUUCCGAAAAAAUAGCGGUUAUCCCCGUUCUCUAUUAGACUCUACACUACCGAUAUCGAGUCGAUCGAGCUCGUCCAAUCUCUUACUUUCUCGUUAAACAAAAUAUUUCCGCUAAGCGCUAGCGACUUUACAGGUUUCUCCAAGGUUGACACCCUUAACACGUUCAAUGCCUCUCACCCUAUAUUACAGGUAUGUCACGUAUCCAUAAGUUACAUUUACUAUCAACGUUAACUCCGAACCAGCGAAAUCAGAUUAACUCGACUGCAGAGGAAAGAAAAGAGCCGAGAGGGAGAGGAACUGACUUUUUAAUUAGCACAACGCUAGGUAUAAUGCAGAACUAACGCUGAUAGUAUGCAGCUUUUCUGCCAAAUGGUGUACAAGUAGACGCUGUAGAUGUUUAUACAAAUUAAUGGUUUCACAGAACAAAGAAUUUAACACGUUCACUGCCAGACUAAUAAUCAUCAACAUUUCUACGAGGCUAAAAUUGUUAUUUAUACAAUCAUAAGUGAUAUAAUUCAACAUUUGUGGUGGUACGUAUUUGUACAAUCUCUUUCAAAUUUACCAAUUCUAUCCGGAUUCAUUUUUGUAACACUCUACGUUGAGAUUGAACGCAUUUAAUUCCUUAGUGAAGAUCCUUGGGCAAAUAUGAGUAACGUAGCAGUCAAUGUGUUAAAUCAAAGUACGUUUCAUCUUCCAAAUGCUAUAACAUGUAUACUAUCUCUGACAUUUUAUAUAACUUUACAUUUACAAGCAUUCUCAUACAUUUCUCUGUACUUCCAUCUGCCAUAAAUGCACAAACAUCCGCAAUCUGCUUACAGACCAUAAAUUAUCCGGCUCCUAAAACUAUAUACCAUUAGCUUUAAUAAAUAGUACUAAUCAAAAAGUCAACGUCACGCUUGUUGAAGACUUCCCUCUCCCUGCAAUAGGGAACGCGUUGGUCUCGCAAGACGUAUUGCUGUACAUGCUCUUAAUUCUAGGAUAACUGGUGGAACUGUACAUUUGGAAAUUAACCUAUUAUCAAUCACCGAUAAACGAUAAACCUCAGCGACGAUUCUACGUGAUCGCGUCGUUGCUCGAAGAUAGAUAGAAGAUCAUUGUGGUCUGGAGAAAUCUAGACACCCAACCGAACGCUAAGAAUAA